AUACGUAGGUGGCAAGCGUUGUCCGGAAUUAUUGGGCGUAAAGGAUGCGUAGGCGGUCCUUUAAGUGGGAUGUGAAAUCCCUGGGCUUAACCCAGGAAUAGCAUUCCAAACUGGAGGACUAGAGUGCAGGAGAGGAAAGUGGAAUUCCCAGUGUAGCGGUGAAAUGCGUAGAGAUUGGGAGGAACACCAGUGGCGAAGGCGGCUUUCUGGACUGUAACUGACGCUGAGGCAUGAAAGCGUGGGGAGCAAACAGGAUUAGAUACCCUGGUAGUCCACGCUGUAAACGAUGGGUACUAGGUGUAGGGGAUUCCGUCCUCUGUGCCGCAGUUAACACAUUAAGUACCCCGCCUGGGGAGUACGAUCGCAAGAUUAAA
rnacentral:rRNA from 1 species